rnacentral:rRNA from 1 species
UACAGAGGUGGCAAGCGUUGUUCGGAAUUACUGGGCGUGAAGGGCGCGUAGGCGGCCAUCUAAGUCAGACGUGAAAUCCCCCGGCUUAACCUGGGAACUGCGUCUGAUACUGGGAAGGCUUGAGUAUGGGAGAGGGAUGGUAGAAUUCCAGGUGUAGCGGUGAAAUGCGUAGAUAUCUGGAGAAUACCGGUGGCGAAGGCGGCAAUCCGUGGACCGGCAGUUGACGCGUGAGGAGCGAAAGCCAGGG